CCUACGGGAGGCAGCAGUAGGGAAUCUUUCACAAUGGGCGAAAGCCUGAUGGAGCAACGCCGCGUGCAGGAGGAAGGCCUUCGGGUUGUAAACUGCUUUUAUAAGCGAGGAAUAUGAUGGUAACUUAUGAAUAAGGAUCGGCUAACUACGUGCCAGCAGCCGCGGUCAUACGUAGGAUCCGAGCAUUAUCCGGAGUGACUGGGUGUAAAGAGUUGCGUAGGUGGCAUAAUAAGUAGCUAGUGAAAUCUGGUGGCUCAACCAUUCAGACUAUUAGCGAAACUGUUAAGCUCGAGACCGUGAGGGGUAAGUGGAAUUGCUAGUGUAGGAGUGAAAUGCGUAGAUAUUAGAAGGAACACCGAUAGCGUAGGCAGGUUGCUGGUACGGAUCUGACACUAAGGCACGAAAGCGUAGGGAGCAAACGGGAUUAGAUACCCUAGUAGUC
rnacentral:rRNA from 1 species